AGCAGUAGCCGCGGGAAUACGAAGGGGGCUAGCGUUGUUCGGAAUUACUGGGCGUAAAGCGCACGUAGGCGGAUAUUUAAGUCAGGGGUGAAAUCCCAGAGCUCAACUCUGGAACUGCCUUUGAUACUGGGUAUCUUGGGUAUGGAAGAGGUGAGUGGAAUUCCGAGUGUAGAGGUGAAAUUCGUAGAUAUUCGGAGGAACACCAGUGGCGAAGGCGGCUCACCGGUCCAUUACUGACGCUGAGGUGCGAAAGCGUGGGGAGCAAACAGGAUUAGAUACCCCCGUAGUCCCUGUCUCUUAUAC
rnacentral:rRNA from 1 species